GUAUUCCGCUCCAUAGCGUAUAUUAAAGUUGUUGCAGUCAAAAGCUCGUAGUUGAAUUUCGGGGUUAGUAGGUUGGUCAUGCCUCUGGUAUGUACUGGUCUCACUGAUUCCUCCUUCCUGAUGAGCCGUAAUGCCAUUAAUUUGGUGUUGCGGGGAAUUUGGACUGUUACUUUGAAAAAAUUAGAGUGUUUAAAGCAAGCUAACGCUUGAAUACAUUAGCAUGGAAUAAUGAAAUAGGACGUUCGAUCCUAUUUUGUUGGUUUCUAGGAUUGACGUAAUGAUUAAUAGGGAUAGUUGGGGGCAUUAGUAUUCAAUUGUCAGAGGUGAAAUUCUUGGAUUUAUUGAANACUANCUACUGCGAAAGCAUUUGCCAAGGAUGUUUUUAUUAAUCAAAAGCGAAAGUUAGGGGAUCNANNACNAA
rnacentral:rRNA from 1 species